AAGGCAGUUGACCCGUCUCUUUGAAGUUAUACUUAUAGAGAGACCAUUUCCAAACUUCCCUGAAACCUAUUGCCACCAACACUAACAUCCUCCUCCCAUGCUCGUGUCUGACCUCUCCUAGCAGGACCCAGGAGCUGGAGGACCGUCACCGUCUGCUUUCAGAGAGGUCGGACCUUUGGGCUGACACAACUCUGGCUCCCAUGCAGGGAUUGGCAGGAGCUGAAGACAGGGAUGUCCCAGAGGAGGCAAACCAGAGGCCAAGCUACACAAAGCCCCAAGCUGUUGGUCCACAUUGGAGCCCGGCUAGGUCUUAUGUUAGAGAUGAAGGGUGCUGUGUCCUUGGAGAAGCUAGCUGCCAGCUGCUUCCACACUUGAUCAGCGUGUGGCUGUCAUUUGGAAAUCUUGACCACUUAGAAUCAAGGUGGACUUGAAGCCCCAGCAGGAGGAGAUCCCCUGGGUUUCUCUGGGUAGAGCGUGUUAGCUGACCUUCCCUACUCGGGUAUCUGCCUAGUGAAUUAUAAACUGGAGACAAGGGGCCCACCAUUUUGACCAAACUGAGUGUUGCCAUAAGAGUGUGUCUGGUAAGAAGUUGAGGCAUCAGUAAGGGAAUGAAUGGUGUAGAUUAAGUGACCAGUGAAUUUAAACAACCGCUUCUGUGAGAGCACAUCUAGUGCUUAGUGUUCCAGUGUGUAUUUUUUUUUCAGAUUCUUUUUAUGUGUCUGUGCGUGUGUGCAGUAUGCGCAUGCAUGUGUGUAUGGAUAUGGUUGUGUGUAUGCGUGGGUACUAGCUGAUGCCAGAGACAGCCUCCGUCACUCCCCUCUUUCUUCAGUGAGGCAGAGUCUCUCAGUUAAAUCCAGAGUUUACUGAGAGGCCUCCUCUCACUAGGCAGCUAGCUCCAGGGAUCCCUUGGUUCUGCCCCCAAAGGAAAAACAUGGGUAGCAAGCAAAGCGCCCAACACAAACUUCACAGUGGCAGCUAGGUGUGUCGUCAUGAAUAAACUUUAUUUUGGAGCGCUUUAAAUGUCAGCCUGGCCUCCAAGGCCUCAUCCGCCAUACCCAACGUCCCUCAACAAAGGAGUCCAUGUAUUAGGACUGAGGAGACAGCAUCUUACAUCAGCAUCCAAGGCCUACCCCACACUCACACUUGGCGUUAUAGUUAUCCCAUGACUUUGGGUGAAUCCCUAGAAGUUAACUCAUUAAGAUUGUAUUGUGUGUUAUAGUUUUCAUGACCAUGUCAUGUUCUGCCAGUCAUCUUCCCUCUCUCAGACAAUGCAAACCAAUAUUUCACAUGAAAAGUUCCAUUAUUUUCCACAGGUUCGCAUAACUGGAGUCGUGUGUGUAUGUGUGUGUGUGUGUGUGUGUGUGUGUGUGUGUUUCUUUUGUAUACAUUGAUAGCAUAAUUUUCCUUAUAUUUUAGAGCCAAAUAAUAUUCUAGAGUCCGCCGAGAGGCUGCAGACAUGGUUUGGUGAUUGAGAGCACUGGCUGCUCUUCUAGGGGACCCGAGUUCAAUUCCCAGCAACCACAAGACAGUUCAUAACCGUCUAUGACUCCAGUUCAAAGGGGAGCCGACACCCCCAAUCAGAUACAUGUAGGCAAAACACUGAUGCACAUAAAAUAAAAAUAAAUAAAGAAUUAAAAACA